GAGGUUGGGAGAGGGAUGCGGAAUUCCAGGUGUAGCGGUGAAAUGCGUAGAUAUCUGGAGGAACACCGGUGGCGAAGGCGGCAUCCUGGACCGACACUGACGCUGAGGAGCGAAAGCCAGGGGAGCAAACGGGAUUAGAUACCCCGGUAGUCCUGGCCCUAAACGAUGAAUGCUUGGUGUGGCGGGUAUCGAUCCCUGCCGUGCCGAAGCUAACGCAUUAAGCAUUCCGCCUGGGGAGUACGGUCGCAAGGCUGAAACUCAAAUGAAUUGACGG
rnacentral:rRNA from 1 species